rnacentral:rRNA from 1 species
UACGUAGGGUGCGAGCGUUAAUCGGAAUUACUGGGCGUAAAGUGUGCGCAGGCGGCCGAGCAAGUCGAGUGUGAAAGCCCCGAGCUUAACUUGGGAACUGCGCUCGAAACUACUUGGCUGGAGUGUGGCAGAGGAAGGUGGAAUUCCACGUGUAGCGGUGAAAUGCGUAGAGAUGUGGAGGAACACCGAUGGCGAAGGCAGCCUUCGUGGGCCAACACUGACGCUCAUGCACGAAAGCGUGGGGAGCAAACAGGAUUAGAACCGG